UGGGGAAUAUUGGGCAAUGGGCGCAAGCCUGACCCAGCAACGCCGCGUGAAGGAAGAAGGCCCUCGGGUUGUAAACUUCUUUUAUGAAGGACGAAAAAAAUGACGGUACUUCAUGAAUAAGCCACGGCUAACUACGUGCCGGCAGCCGCGGUAAUACGUAGGUGGCAAGCGUUAUCCGGAAUGAUUGGGCGUAAAGGGUGCGUAGGCGGUACGAUAAGUCUGAAGUAAAAGCCGGUGGCUCAACCAUCGUAAGCUUUGGAAACUGUCGAACUAGCGUGCAGGAGAGGUUAGUGGAAUUCCAUGUGUAGCGGUAAAAUGCGUAGAUAUAUGGAGGAACACCAGUGGCGAAGGCGGCUAACUGGACUGUAACGGACGCUGAGGCACGAAAGCGUGGGGAGCAAAUA
rnacentral:rRNA from 1 species